rfam:Trichoplax adhaerens isolate Grell Red Sea mitochondrion, complete genome.
GGGAGAUUAGGUUAAAGGCAAACUCUUAGUCUUCAAAACUAUCAAAAUCGGUUCAAGUCCGGUAUCUCCUG